rnacentral:lncRNA from 1 species
AAUGGAAAGUUUGACGUCAUCCAACAACAAGUUCAAUUCUUUAACACCUUAAAAGAUUCUUUAUCCCAACCCAUAAAAUCAAAAAACAUAAAUUGAACCCUAAAUAUCAAAAAGUAAAACUCAAAAUGAAAGAUUCAAUAAAAUAUUAAAGUAGUAAAAAAGUUGGCUUUUACCAUGCGACCAUGAGUUAAACACAAACCUAAAGGGAAGAUCUUUGUAAAUCCAUGUAAAUCCAAUAAUUUUCAUAAUCCAGUAUCUAUAUUGAAAUACUUCGAUUCAUAGAUCCUUGCAAAUCCUCCAAGAAGUUUGUAAUCUUUGUUGAAGAAGAAGAAGAAGAAGAAGAGAAAUAUAGUAGAAGAGAGAAGAAGAAGAGAAAUAUAGUAGAAGAGAGAAGAAAGAAUAAGAGGAAGAGAUAGAAUAUGAAAAUGCAUUGUUUGGGGGAAAGACGACAAAACUUUUGAAUUGGAGCUGACAUUGGAAAAAGAGAAAAAAGAAUUGCAAUUGAACCAUGUGACAUCAUCAAUUGAUCCAAAACUAGCAACUAAAGACAUAAUACAAUAAACAUAUAGUUAAAAAUGAACAAUGUGAUAUCAUUAGUUAUAAAAAAUAAUUUUUGAACCAAAAUUGCCCUCAUUUUAGUGAUGUGGCAGAUUAAGGGAAAAAGGAAAAAUUAGAGUUUUCCACAACAUCUAAUUUUCUUAUAUUGUAGAUUUUAUUGACUCACUACAUAUUUAGAUAAAUUGUUUCAUUUUCCCCGUAUUAUAUUAUUUUGUACGACAUAAUUGUACACACAUUAUUUUAUAAGCAUGUUUGUAGAUAUAUUCAAACAAAAAAUAAAUUAUAGAAUAUACUUAAUUAAUUUAUAAGUGUCACAUAUUUUUUUUGAAUCACAAAUAUAAUUUUUUUAAUAUUUAAAUCAUAAAUACAAUUUUUUCCAUAUAUAAAAAUAUUUUGAUCAACCAUAAAAAAAAUUUGGUUUAUAAAAUUAUUUUUUAUCAACAAUUUAUUCUUUACCUGUAUAAAAAAAGAAAAAGAAUUCAGAAACAAUCAUCUUCACAUCCUUAGUCUGUUUCAGUACAGAUAAAUAAUCAUUACAAAAAACAAAAACAAUCUAGAAAUUAAAACCAAAAGAUCAAACAAUAUGCUAAUCUUUUUCUGAGAUGUUUUGGAUGAUUCAUCCUCACUCUCCUCAUCACUAUCACUUUUCUCAUCUUAUCAUGUUUAUUGCACACGUUCUGAGUGUAUAAUAAAUAAAUGAUUUAAAAAUACAAAAUAUCACCAAAAAAUAUGUACAUGCUACAAAAAUGGCAUGGGUCAUAACCAAAAAAUUCCUAUGAUUCACUAACCUCUUUCUAAGCAACAACCACUGCCUACUUGUUUCCAUUAUAAGCAUUGGAAGUUUUUUGCGACAUUAAGAAAACAACUCAACUAUUCAAAAGAACACUAAGAUCAAUGUGAACAACCUCUGCAGUAGUUAGAUCAAUUAAAAUUUUCAUUAAAAACCAUAUAUGUCAAUAUGAGGGAUGAACCGUGGAGAUAUAGCAACAAAGAAGAACUUCACAAAAAAAUGUGAAAAUUUUAAUAAACAGCAGAAUUAUCCUUCAAAAACAAAGGUUGACAGUUCUUAUUGUGAAACUCAUACACAAAAUAAAUAAUUCAAACCAAUAACAGUUAUGAAAUGUCAAUCGCCAAGGCCAACAAUAUAACAAACCUGAAUAUCAAUAAACUAAUAAAUAUACCAAGGUUGUGAAUGAGAGAUAUAUUGACACAAAGAUAUAAUUAACAUACAAUAUAAAGUUCAAUUAACUGUCUGGGAAAACUAAGUAGACAUAGUUGAUUAGUAUUUAAACAGAUUUUGCCACCUGCAAUAAAUGAAUACCAGAAGUUUGUAAAUUAAUAUAGAUUCAGGAGUUUCAGUUUUCGUAAUGAAGCAAUAUCAAUGGAUCCAUGGUAGAUGUCCUCUAUAACAUUUUCAAAGAUAUGUUCACAAAGAUUCCUUGCAGAAUAGUCGCUGAAAAUUAGUACUACCUCUGUUCCAUUAUAUAAGAUACAACUCAUUUUUUAGGUCCAUUGAAUGUAUUUAUUCAAUUAAUCUAAAAAGUUAGUUGUCUCUUACAUAAAUGAACGAAGGUAGUAAUUGUAAGACCCCAAUUUUGAUCCUAAGAUCCCUCGUGCUAUUCUCAUCAUAUGCAUUAGCAUUGGAUCACACCUUGGCAUCCUCCUUACCCCUCAUUUACUGGGUUUGCAUUGGGAGAGAUCACCAAGCACAUUUGAUUGUAUCAUACUUCAUUUAUUUUUAUUUCACUAACCUAAAUACCAAAAAUAUGCCAUUUGUAUAGUUUAACUCUUUUGUAGGUAAUGCACAUGCUCACCCAUGCUCUAUCAAGCUCACAUCUAGGGCUUAAGACCAUAAUUGCAAGGAGCUCAAUCAAUAAGUGGUUUACUAUGACUCUAAGUAUCAUAUAUGAAUCCCCAUUAUCUUCACAUGUUCUUUUGAUCAAGAAAUCAUCAAGAGUUUGGAGUUGGUUUGCUUUGGAAACCCUAAUUCAUCUAGGUAUCUUGUGUAACUUCUUCAACAAGCUUCUUCACCAAUUUACCAAAUAUUUCAAGGGAUGCUUCAUAUUUCAUCAUCUUAUGCAUAUAUGAUCCUCCAUGAGUCCCAAAAGACAAUAGAAUGUCAAGCUAGCCAGUUGGUUCAUGGUGGUUGACCAAAGGAAUUCAACUAAUCAAAACUGGGGUUCCCUAGACCCUAUCUCCUACACUUUUUGUCAUAUGAAAAUGAUUAUAAGAUAAAGGUUACUCUAAAUUACAUUCCAAACAACUUUCAUGUUAAAGUCAAGAGCUAUUUUUGCUUGGAAAGUCAUUUUUUAUGGUGAAAGAUUAUAGGUCAUUUUGUCUAAACCUUAAUUUGGAGAUCAACAUCCCAAGACCAUAACUUGCUCAAUUUUUAUGAUAUGAAAGCUAUUCAAGUUGCAUAAUCAAAUUCAAGAUGUCUACUUAAACUUUGAUGUUUAGAUGAAGAGAAAAUUCAACUUUUAAAUGCAUAUGAUAUGAGGAAACAUUAUAGGUCAUUUUGGGCCAAUACCAUUGAACAAGUGAUUUUCCUCAACUUCUAAAAUGUAUAACUCCUUCAUUCUAAAUCCAAAUGAGGUCAAAUAUAUGACCAAAUUGAAGUAACUUGAGAGAUCUACAACUUUUAUAAAGGAAUGUUUCUCAUUUGUAACCCAUAGGAAAAGUUACUCAAGGUGGAAGAAGUGACCAUAUGGCGUGGUACUUAGGAAUUUUUUUGAUAUAUUUGAUUUUCCAAACUUCCACCUCAAAAUUCAUCAUGAUCUAAGCUUCAAAUGGAAAAAUGUUCAAUAUGAAAGUUGUUUCUCUUGAUCUAAUCUUUCCAAAAAGUUCAAAUUCAUCCCAUUUGGACAAAGUAUGAGUGACUUACGAAUGGCUUAAAGUUGGAUGACCAUUUGGCAUAGUUGAACUUCCACUUCCCACACACGAAUGCAUGGCUUGUUAACAUGACUUCAGCAUUGCUUGCACAUGAUUUUGGACAUGAAUGUAUCAUUACAUGGGCCUAUCACAUGCCCAUUCAUCCAUGCAAGGCAUUUUUCUAUUUUUGAAAGUUUGAAAGAAGUGUGCAAAUAUCAAAGGCUUUGGCUAUAAAUAGAAGUGUCUAUGCUCAGAAUUAAGGACCCUUGCACGCCAGCUUUGAAGCUACAACCCUAAACCUCCAUAUUCAAAGGAUAACCUUAAGGAUUUUCAUUGAAAAUCGAGUUUGAAUCUCCCACUGUUUUGAGAUUCAAAACUCUAAGAGUCCUGUGUAAGACCCUAAUUUUGACCCUAAGAUCCCUCAUGGCAUCAUAUCAUUUGCUCAAUGCAUUGCCUCAAGGAUCAUAGCAUGUGUGGCUCCUUUACCCUAUGGUUGGGACUUGUGUGAGUGGUUUGAGACCACCAAGCAUGCUUGAAUUGUAUAUUAUUGCUUUUCUUAUUUUGUUUACUAACCAAAAGCACAAAAAUAUGUCACUAACUCUUUUUGUUUUGAAGCUCAUAUAUUAUUGCUUUUCUUAUUUUGUUUACUAACCAAAAGCACAAAAAUAUGUCACUAACUCUUUUUGUUUUGAAGCUCAAGUGAUCAUGUGUGCCCAUGCUCCUAGGAGGCUCCUAAGCUCAAUGAAGUGGCUCAAUGAAGAUGAGAGUAAGCAUGACAAUGGUCCACAAAGUUCCUAAUCGUCAUAUAUGUCUCUCAAGUAUCUCAAUUUGCCAAUUUGAUCAAGAUAACCCAAAGGGCUUGAGGAUUAUUUCUCAAGGAAACCCUAAUUCAACUGUGCAUUGACUGUACCUUGCUCAUGAAGCAACCUCAACCUAUGAUCAAAUUAAAUCAAUGGAAGUUCUUUCAUUAAUUAUUUUAUGCAUAUAUGAUCCUAUGUGAGUAUCCUCAAUCACUCAUUCAUCAAGAUUUGAAGUUUGGCCUUGAGAAGUUGACCAGUCAAGUCAUCUGACUAAACUGAAGAUCACUGAGACCUAAAGUUUGAUGUGUUUGUAAAAUGAAGAUGAACCCAAGAGACACAAUGUUCUUAAGAACCAUAUUAACAACUUUCAUGUUCAUAAAAAAUCCAUUUGAAACUUGGAAGGUCAUCAUUCAUUUCAAAACAUUAUAGGUCAUUUUGAUUGAAACCCUAAUUUUGGGUCAACUUCGCGAGGACUUAACUUCCUUAUUUUUUAUGAUUUUGAGGUGAGACCAAUUGAAUUGGAAAGCUUAAGAUAUCUACUUAAAAUGUUAUGUUGGACAAAAUUUCAUAAUCCUAAAAGAAACACAUAUGAUAAUACAAAACAUUAUAGGUCACUUUGGACCAAGACCAUUGAAUUUGAAAAAUGUCCAACUUCAAGUGCCCAUAACUUUCUCAUUAAAAAUCCAAAUGAUUCAAAAUUUAAGUCUAAAUUUAUAACCUUAAAACGAUAUACAACUUUUAUGUUGUAGGGUUUUCCAUUUGAGGCUUGAAUCAUUGAAACAUAAGGGAUUGAAGUUGCUCACUUUUGGCAAAAAAUUUCAAAGGGGACUUAGACAUGUUUUGUACCCCAAGCUUCAAAGCCAGUUUUCAUAAAUUUCCAAACUCCAAAUGGAUUUUUUCCCAACAUAACCUUUAUUCCUUAUGUCAAGAGCUUUCCAACCAUUACUCACAUGGCCAUUUUUGGAUAUUCCAUGUGGGACUUUCGAAGAGAUGAAUGUUUAUGUGCAUUUUGGCAAUUCACAUCAUAACUUGAAAUGCAAGCAAAUAACAGGCCUUGUGCACGUCCAAUUCACCUCAAUAUGACUUCAGCAUGCAUUUCUAUUCAUCCUUGGGCUUUGCAAGCGCCUGUACAGGCCCACGGAUGGAAGGUCCAAUCUUCAUGCACACGAGCAUUUCACUACCUUGCAGCACAGCUCAGCUAUAAAUAGAAGCUCUUCCUCAUUCAAAUUUCAACCUGAAGGAGAUCUUAAACUCUGCUGGAUUGAAACCUCACCCUCACUUAAAGGAAUUUCAGUUUUUAUUUCUCAAUUUCAAGCUUGAAUUUCAACAUCCUUAGUUGAUCUUCAAGUCUUAAUUCCUUAGUCUUGCAUCACCAUUCCAUCUCCAUAUCAAAUUUGGAUCAAAAGCUUGGAGAGAUUGUGCUGUUCAAAGCUGCAUUUCAGAGGUAUAUUAUCAAACUUGUUUGAUCUGGAUCUUGAAAUACAAUGCGAAUUACUUGAGUUUUAACUGUUUUCUGAAGUCCUCGAGCAAGAGGCAGACCAGUAGUGGUCUUAAUUUCAUGAAUCGUGCCAUUUCAGUUUGUGUACCUUGAUCUUUAAGCUCUGAUUUCUCAUUAAAUAGAAACAUUGAGGAAGAUCCAAGGUUACAGGGGUGAUGUACAUCACCCCCAGCUUCAUUUUGGUAACCUACUUGUUUAUUUUCAUUAAGUUUCAAAAACCUGCGCGUGGUGGCCGAAGUUGGUUCUCUGGCCGGAGAAGAUGGUGGUUUCCACCACCAUCCCCACGUGGAUGCUUCUGGUCCUUUGGAUCUUGGCAAAAUGUUAUAAUCGUGGCCUUUGCUUUUGUUGACCUUUUUUAAUACAUUGUGUGAUGCGCUUGACUGGAGAACAUGAUAUGACCGCGCCUCUGGACCGUGUGAUCAUGCCACGUCAAUUAGUGAGACGGAUCUAAUGGGCGCUGAUUUUUGCUAUUUUUCUAUUUUCUGUUUUAAUUUCAUUAAUUUCUUUUAUUUUCAAAAAUUCAUAAAUAUUUUAUUUGAAGUCACAAAAAUAUGAGACCAAUGGCAAAAAAAUUCUUGAAAAAUCUAGUUUCAUAUUUUGAUUUUUAAUUAUUUUUGUGACUUCAUUUAAUAUUUUUUGUGAAUUAUUUGGUUUUUAAUAGUUUUUAAUUCAUUUUAAAUACUUUUUGAUAUCUGAAAAAUCCAAAAAUAUUUUCUUAACACAUAUGGAUCAUGAUAAGUCAAUGAAAAGUAGUCUCAUCAAUUUCUUAAUUGAUUUGAGAUUUAUUUGAGAUUUUAAUUCAUAUUGUGUUGUUUUUAUUGUUUUUAAUUGUUUUAAAAUAGUUUCUGAUUUCAAAAAUUGUUGAAAAAAUUUGUCAAACCUUGUUUGACCAUGUUAGACUUAUAAGAAUUUAAUUGAACUUGUUUAAGUUGAUUUGAAUUGAAUUUGAGGUUUGACCAUAUUUUAUCCAUUUUAAUUUUGCAUUUAUUUUAAUUCCAAAAAUACCAAAAAAAUAUGUUUGACUUGUUGACUUUUAAUCUUCAUUUCUCUUCUGUUUAACAUUGGUUGAUGAUGAUUUGAUUCACUUUUGACCAAUUAUGUUUGACAUUUUAUUUCUCUUUAUGUCCAUUUCAUCUUCAUCUUAUUUCUUUUUAUUUUGGCCAAUGAGUUAAUGUCUUAUGGUUGGUCUUGACAUAUGAGAGGCUUAAUUUUCUUUGAUCCAAAUCAAACUCAACCCGAUCCAUGAUCAAGUGAGUUGCUUUGUAUCCAAUAGGUUGCUUCUUGGUCAAGCAAAAAACCUAAAGUCCAUACAAUGCUUUCCUCUUUUCUUUUGGCAUGGCAAGUUUUUGGAGCUUGGCUUACUAGUCAUGAUAUGUAACUUGUGUUUAUUUGCCUAUAGUUUUAUUGACCGGCCUCAGAUAGGUGUGACUACUACAUUAGUCCACUUACGAUUGCUUAACAUAACGCUAAAUUGUCUUAUGACACACUAACAUUAACCAUACUAAUUACUAACUUUAAAUUUGAGCAUUUAAUUUCUUGCAAUUUACUUUCUUGCAAUUUACUUUCUUGCUCAUUUAUUCAUAUUGCUUUUCAUUUUGAUCACUUGAGCGCAUAUUUUAUGUUUAUGCCAUUUUCCUUUUGCUCAUUUGAGCUCAUUAUUGUAUAUAAAUAUAUUGCUGUCUUGUGGUUGUUUUGUCUUUGUUUGUGUGAACCCAAUGCAAAAAGGAGAAAGGACUUAGAAUUAGGACCUUACCUAUGCUUAAAGGAGUUCAAGAGCAACUAGGCCUCAUGCCUUUAGAAUGCUAGGAGAAAGGACUUAGAAUUAGGACCUUACCUAUGCUUAAAGGAGUUCAAGAGCAACUAGGCCUCAUGCCUUUAGAAUGCUAAACUUGUUGAAGAGCAACUAGGCCUCAUGCCUUUAGAAUGCUUAAUUUAAAAGUUGACUUCCAAGGACUUUCUUUCCAAAACUCAUUCUAUGUCCAUUCCUCUUAUUGUGUUGUGAACUUUUUGAUGUUUGCUAUUUUGUGAUAGGGGUUCCAUCUUGAGAUAGUAAGGAGGACCAUUGUCAUGAGUAGCCAAGUUAAGAGAGACAAUCCAAAUGGAGAUCCUAGGAGCUUGAAUCUAAAUAUUUGAUUGAUUUCUUGAGUUGUUUGCUAAAUCCAAAGGAAAGGAGCAUCUUGUAUCAUCUAUAUGAUUUCAAGAAAAUGAACUCCAAGGGUUUUAUCUCUUCCCUCAUCUUUGUAUGCUUUAGGACUAGCCCAUUCUCUCCACUCUAACCCAAGCCAAACUCUUUUUGUGCAAACUUUGACUUUGUUUCAAACUAGAAACCUAGGCCUUAUGCCUUUGACAUUUUCAAAAUCUUUUCAUUAAUACUCAUUGUGAAUGAAUCCUAAUCCAACUUUGACUUCAUUUUGUAAAUAAAUCUAACUUGUAAAUAUAACUCACUUCAAGUUGAUUUUUUUUUGGUUCCAAUGGCCACGUUUGUUAAAACUUUUUCAUAAACAUUAGCCAUAGGUUUGAGUUAUCAUAGUGGUUGAUGUAAACCUCACCUUAUCCUUAGUGAUUGGACUAUAAGUCUUCCAUACUUAUUAUAGGGUUAACCCCUCACUAGUAUGUUGAAGCUCUCCUCACAUGGUGGAUUGUUGGUUUAGGUUGAGUUUUCUCCCUUUGAUAACAAAAAACCUUAAGGCUUUUGGCAAAUCAAUUCAUCAAUCUUUUGAGAUUUUUACCCCGAACUACGAGGUUUUGAUCCUACCUUUGUGAUGGUACGUAGGUAAUGGGUUCAUCCAUUCAAACAACAAAAUUGUAAAUAUAAUAUUCUUUUCUCAUCCCCCCAAUCUUUGCACAUAUUUUCAUAAAUACCAACCUACAACACAUAUUUGCAAAAAGAGGUUCCCUUAGAGUACUAAGGAUGUUUUGGGUGCUUAAAACCUUCCUAUCUCAUAACCAACCCCCCUUACCUAGAUCUCUGACAUUUUUAUUAGUUUUUGAUUUGAUAAAACUUCUUACUUGGCUUUUGUUCGCUUUUUUAGCCUUUCCUUUGGACAAAUAAAAGUAUGGUGGCGACUCGAAUUGUAUGCUUACUUUCAGUUUAGUCAAUAAACCAUAAGGUAACGAAUAGCCCGCUACAGAAAAGUGGCGACUCUGUUGGGGAAGGAAAAUUCCCUAGUGGGUUUAGCCUACUUUUUGCUUGUAUGUGUUGUAUGUUUAUUGGUGACAUAUUUUUGUGCAAAUUUGGGAUGACUGUAUUGUUUGUAAUGUAUGAAUUGCUUGAUAUAUCAAUUGCUUGUGUGAUUGGUGGUCUCUUGUGAGAUGAUUUCUAUACCCGAACUCGAGUGCACAUAUGAUAGGAGAAUGGCAUAGUCUUGUUGACUUGUGUGGAGUUAUUCCUUAGCAAGUUGGCUUGCAAGCCCAUUCACUUGGUGGAGGUCUUGUUGGGAUCAAUAAUGUCACACGAGUAAUCGUGGUUAGGAAUUACUCUUUCCAAUAUAAACCUUAUAAACCAAGGACCUUAGAUUACCUAGCCCAUCUUGGCCUAUUUUAGGACGUAGUGCGAAGGUCGUUCAAGUGUAAGAUUUGAUACGAUUGUUACGCGAUACUACACUCAUAAGAGUCUCUCUUGAGAAUAUUUUUGGAAUACGAGUAGUCGUUUAUCCGAUAAUAUCCGAAAGAUGAGAUGAUGACUAUGGGGACCUUUUUAGAACAUGAUUAUCAAGUUUAACCAUAGUACACCCCCUUUGGGUGGUUCUUAACCGAGACUCCAUGCUCGUGACUUACAACAAACCCGUGAUUCGCGGUUGAUCUGUUCUCAUAUAUCCUCAAUAUCAAUGGAACUUGGGUGUUGAUAAGGUGUUAACCAUAAUCCACCAAAACGGAUGAUUGAUAUUGAUAAUGACUCGAACCAUCCCGUGACCUUUGUGUGGUAUGACUUGCUUGAUCCUUGAGUGUGAUUGUUGCAUCCAUGCAUUCAUUUGCAUCCAUGUCAUCAACACUGAAAAUUUUCAAGGAACUUAAGAGGUCUAUUUGCAAAUUUCAGACAUGGAUAAGCAAAGAAGGAAUACGAAGAAGUACAGUUUCAGACAACCCGACUUAAAAGAGUUAAGGAGUUUGACAUCUUAUGUAUUAGAGCCUUUGGAGUUCAAGGCUCGCCAUGGGAAGCUCUUGUCUCUCACUAAUGAUGAUAUCUUUUGGUAUAACCGUGUGUAUGAUGGCGUCCAGAUUAUUGACUCUUGUGGAGAAUUCUCCAAUGUGCCUCUUCUUGGUACAUGUGGUGGAAUUAAUUACAACCCUAUUUUAGCACGUCGUAAGCUUGGGUUCCCCUUAAAGGAUAAACCUAACAACAUUAUGUUGGAAGGUGUGUUCUUUCAAGAGGGUAAAGAUCCCCAGAAUUUGAAGGAUAGGAUGGUCCGCGCCUGGCGCAAAGUUCAUAGGAAGGGAAGGAAGGAGCUUGGUCCGAAGAAUUGCAUUGCUUUAGAGCCUUACACCUCUUGGGUAAGGAAGAGAGCCCUCGAGUACUACAUGCCCUAUGAUUAUCCAAGACCUACCCAUAUGGUUAUGGUUGGGCCUUCAACCCUCCCUAACCAAGGAGUAGAGAAGUUGAAAGAUGAGGACCGAUCACGUGCUUGGGUUCGUGAGCGAGAGGAACUUCUUCAGCAGCUUAGAGAUAAGGAUGUAGUGAUAGAGUUUCUGGAGCAUCAGGUUAUUGAUGGGCCUGAUGAUUUGGUUACUUCUCUUCUUCCUCAGUCAUCCAGGUUUUGGAAGAGGAAGUAUGAUCGGCUCGCCAAGGAGAAGGCCGACAUGGAAGCAGCUUCUGAGAGAGAGGUGAAGAGGCUUCGUGCAGCUUAUCUUCCAGUCUCUAGAGCUUUGGACGAUUAUUUCUAGGGCUCCAUAGGAUGUUUAUUCUCCUUUUCUUCUUGUAUUGUAUUUGGUUACCAAAACUGUACUACUUCAUUGGUGUAAAAAAAUUUCCAAAUAUUAUUGCUACGUGCAUUCCAUAUAUGUCUUAAAAGAGUAAUAUUUUCAAAUAUUUUCAAAUAGAUCUCUAUAAAGUUCCUCUGAUAAAAACAAAUCAUAUGCACAAACAUUGCAUGCAUCAUAUGCAUAAGCAGGUUUUGUUCUGAGCUUCUUGGUCAGUGGUCUAACUCUUUGCAAAUCUUUAGGAGUCAGUUUACGCAACUUUGCUGUAAUAUGCUUUCGGAAAUAACCCUACCUCAAUUAGGUCUUUUGAGGGUUUUAACGUGGCCUGGUUCACGGUUAUCGAAACAAAGGAUAUGAGGCUCAAAAUUGUCUCUGUACCCAUCCUUCUUCUUGAUAAACUCCAGUCCUAUGCUCAGUUAAUUCACCAUACACAUUCAACUUUUAAGAGAGUUUGCAGGUGUAAGAUCUCUUGAAAUGACAGACACUUUAUUUUGCUCCUCACGGAUAUUGGUGACCCUUUGAUUCUUGAUAUGGUGGUCACUAAAUCUUGUUUUAUUUUGUUGAGGGUUUUCGUGACCUCCUUUGAUUUUUGUUUUGAUCCCUAACUUUUGCAUGGACCACUUUUUGAAGCUUUAGUCCAUCGGGAUUGCCCCGGUUUUUGCCUAAGUCUCCUUUUGGGGUAUCGACUUAGCGGGCUUUUUAUUGAUUCCCUUUUUUAGAAUGUGUCUGCCAAGUCAUUGGUCAUUGAAGAACAACCGUCAUAACAUUUUGAUUUUUCAAGGUUCCUUCGACACUUUAGGAUGUGUGUGAAGAAUGUCAUGUAGUUGAUCCACAUACUGGAUAUUUCAUCUUGUGAUUUGAAUGCAUUGUCAGAUUAACUGAACACUACCCUGCCCCAGGUUUAAUGUAAGGUUUUUUUAGAUCUGAAAGAAACUCCUACUUCAGGCUCGAAGUGGUUGACUAGGGAUUAACUCCUUAUCUCUCCAGUGUUUGGGAAUUCGAAACAAUGCCUAUACAUCAUCAGCAGAAUUUUAUCCGAAAGCAUAUAGUUAGCAAUUAUGGGUAACUUGUUUUCGUCAUCCUCCCUCAAAUCUUUGCUAAAACAAAAGUUAUGAUAAAGAAAAGUAAAUGGGAGAAACACUGAUGUAUUUUUGUUUUUGAUAUAAGAGAAGAAAAAUGAGCGAAUGCGAGAUAAUUAAUUCAAGACAUGCAUCAUUAUUUCAUCAAUAUUACCAUUAAAAACAACAAUGUUUAAACACAAGCAGCUUUUAACAACAAAGAAACUACAAAUGCAAAAAUAGAAACAAAUCAGUCCAACGAUUGCCAGUGUUGAGGAUGUCUUCCUGUCUGAACUACUGGCAUUAGGAGAUACUCUAUGAAAUCUUUGAACUCAUUCUGACGAGAGAUUAAACAUGCACAAAGACUUCCUUCUGAAAAGGAUAUGUACCUUUUUGUCGAUCAAUUGUUGCACUUUAGCCUUGAAAGCAUUGCAGUCUUCAGUUGAAUGCCCUAUUGUUCCGGCAUGAUAUCCACAUUGCACAUCAGGAUCAUAUCCAUGUGGGUAUGGUUCUGACAAUGGCCUGAGAGACUUGGGCCACCAGCGAGCUUUGAAUCAAAUAUGGCAGAAGUUGACUGUAUGACAUAGGAAUUGGAUCGAGAGGAGCAUUCCUUCUUUCCAGAUUGUUUCGAGGCCUAUGCUUGUUCAGAUGCUGAUUCUGAUAUCCUUGACCACGAGAACUUUGAUUUGUAUGAGGAACAGUCCAUGGUUGCCUUAAUGGUGCUCUAGGCCUUGCCGGUUGCCUAUAAGGAUAACAUGGUGUUGGAAAUGGUGAUUGCUGAGAAGGUGAAGAACCAUAAGGUAUGGCUGGUGCAUCGUGAGAAUACCCAACAUCUGUCAUGACUGCAUUUGUUUCAUCAUCUUCUUCCUUUUGGGAAUCGCUGAGGGAUUCUAUCUCGCUAGCUUGGUUGCUCGAGGCACCUUGGAUUCUUCCAAUUUUUAGGGCACUCUCGAUGCAUUCUCCAAUUGUCACUAAGUUAGCGAAGUCUGAUGUUGCACUGCUAAUCAUCCUUUCGAAGUAUGGACUUUGCAGGGUGUCCCUGAAUAAUUCCAUCAAUUAUUUGUCUAAGAGUGGUGGCUUAAUGCAAGUCGCUAACUCUCUCCAUCUUUGGGCAUAUCCUCUGAAGGAUUCAUUGCACUCUUUAGAUAAGGCUCUCAGCUGCAUGCGAUCAGGAGCUAUGUCCAAAUUAUAUUUGUAAUGCUUCAAGAAGCCGUUAGUUAGGUCCAGCCAUGAUUGAAUACGACUCCUUUCUAACUUCAUGUACCAACUCAAUGAUGCCCCAGUCAAACUAUCCUGAAAACAGUGAAUAAUUAAUUUAUCAUCAUGGGCACGAGAGGUCAUUUUUCGAUAAAACAUCACCAAAUGGUGCUUUGGACUGCUAUCCCCUUUGUACUUCUCAAAUUCUGGUACUUCGAAUUUUAGGGGUAUAACCAGGCCAGAUACCAAACACAUGUCUAAGGCAUUCAGUCCAACAAUAUCUUUUCCUUCUAUGGCCUUGAGUCUUUUCUCUAGCACGCGACAUCUUUUAGCAAUCUCGCCAUCUUGUGGUUGUUCAGUAUUAACCACAAGACUUGUCCCAUGGGAAUCUGACACAGAGAAUGCAAAGCUAUGAUACUCAGCAGCAUCAUGAUAUGGGGAACCCUCAUCUCAAACAAUAUGAAGUUCAUGUACAGCAGAGUUAUCAACUGGGGUUCACAUAGGCUGAGGUUGGGUAGGACCAUUUACUGGAGCUGGAAUAACAGUUUCUACGAAUGCAAUCUGUUGAAUGUCGUCCUUCCUCUUUUCAAAAGCUAUCAUAGCCUCCACAAGUUGGUCUACCUGGUUUUUCAUCGAGUCAACAUCUCCUCUUAAUGCAAUGUGAUUUUGCUCUAAUGGAUCCAUGGUUUUUCAAGAGCUACUUUAAGUCUGAUAUAAGUGUCGGGAAAUCAACUGUAGGUUAUGGACGAAGGAUUUUUCAAGAGCUACUUUAAGUCUGAUAUAAGUGUCGGGAAAUCAACUGUAGGUUAUGGACGAAGGAUGGAUGAGUUUUUUUGUAUAUAUUUUGGUGAAAAAUUAUAUGAAAUGUAUGAUGAUGAAUACAAAUGUAAUGAUAUGUGUAUGAAUGUAGUGACAUGUUUAGGAUCACAGAUUCAAGGUGUUCUCAGAUGGAUUCGAAUAACGGGUAAAUGACAGGUAUCUCUGAUUAAUGGAACCCCAUGGGUAGUCUCUACAGUCGGUAGGUUCCUAGAGUCAUGGAUAUUUCUUGAGGACGUCACUGCCGUGACGAAAACUCGUCGGACAAUAAUAUCCUUAAGAUGAUCUCGUCUAGGUGAGGUCUUCGUAUUGUCCCAACAAGGAAAACUCCAUGGGGAUUCUACUAUACAACUCUCGAUUCCAAGGUUCUAACAAGGUUCUCAGAGUCAUAGAUCGAGGUUGGAAAUAUUACUGUAAGAUAGUAAUACGUCCAAGGGAUCUCAUCUGAUUGGGGCUUUCGUAUUAACCUAAUAAGUCCGGGACUUUUCAGGAGAGUCAUAGAUCGAGGUUGGAAAUAUUACUGUAAGAUAGUAAUACGUCCAAGGGAUCUCAUCUGAUUGGGGCUUUCGUAUUAACCUAAUAAGUCCGGGACUUUUCAGGUAAAUACUACAUAACCACCAGAAAUAAUGGGUUAAAAGGUCCCUAGAGUCAUUGAUCCAACUUGAAAAUACUAUCGUCGUGACGAAAACUCAUCGGGCAAUAAUACCUCAAGAGAAUCUCCUCAAGGCGGGGUCUUCGUAUCUUCCCAACAAGGAAGACUCCUUGUGGGCGCCCACUACGCAACCACCAACUUAAUCUUUUGGUUUUUCUCAGACUCGGGUGGAGAGUCUAUCUCACAAAGUAUCACCAACCAGAGAACUGUUAGGGACUAAUUAGUACUACUUUUUAUAUAAUUUUAUUGGUCCCUUUUACCAAUUUUUGAUGUAAUUACACAUUUUUAUUCUCACAAUUUUGUAUAAAUGCAAUCAGGUUUAAUUGAUGUUGUUUUGAGUAGUUAUUUCACGUAUUUGUUAGUUUUGUAGAAUUUUUGGACAAGAGAGCUUCGGAGUGCAUAAGCAUAAUUUGGAAGAAGUGGUUGAUGCAUUUGGAGGCAUAAUUUGGAGAUAACCACUUGGGAGAAUCAUUGCAUGAGCUUGCAAGGCAGGAAGCUGAAGUAGCUUCAAUUCGCGCUGCGACCAGGGAUGGCGCCGCAAACCUUGCGAAACCAGCAAGUUGUUUGUUUGGGCCAGUGUUCUGUUUUUAAGCCAGCUGUGUUGUUGACAGUUUUGUAUCUGUUUAGGUGCUUUCAGUUUUGGUAUGAAAAUGACAUUUUAGGAAAGGUCAACUCUUAAGAAAACAUAAGAUGGAAAAUAGUCAUUCAUUCAUUGUUUCAUUUUUGUAAGAGAAAAAACAGAGUUAUUUCUACCAUUGCAUUUGGGCUGUCCAAAAUGUCAUGAUGGAGGCAGUUAAACCCCAUUUUUCAAGAUUGGGGAGUAGAGAGCUAUUCCUAUUUGUUUAUGUAUUCAUUUGACUCUUUAUAUAUGAUAAAGGGUAUUUGAUGUAUUGAUGAUAUUUUUGCCUAAGUUGAUAUUAGAUUUGUGAGUAGUUGUGAAAGGAUUAUUACAGUCUGUGACUAAAUAUAACUUACUUACCAAGUCAAAGUGAAAUAAAGUGAUACACAUAGAUUUACUACUCUUACCGACUUUCUUUCAUGUCAUCAACCAUUAAAGAUCGAUAUAUAUUGAUAGUUAGGUGGGGGAGGGAAAGAUCGGUCUUUUAAAAGAUUUUAAUUAUAGUGAUUAUCACAAUAUCAUUUAGACAUAAUGAUAUUGAGAGGAAUACUUGACAUCAUCAUAAUCUUAAAAAUCUAUAUAGUUGUCAUAAGAUCAUAAGCAAUUUGAUAGUGAACUCCAAUCUUGCCAGCCUUUACAUUUGAUUAAACUUAUUUUAUUGUUUUAGUGACAUCUUUCUCAAAAGAUAAACUUUUCAAACAAACAAUUUGGGUAUAUUGUCGAACUUAUAACAAUUUGGAUUAUAGUAACGGCGGUAAUAACAACCAAUCUCUGUGGAUACAUAUUAGAAAUUUUUGCCGUGAAAUAUAUUUUUCAACAAAUGCUGUCGUUGCCGGGGAUUGGUGUUCCGAUAUUACAAGCAUUGCAAUAAAUUCAUUGUUUUAAGCUUGUACUUACUAUCCUCUUGUGUUUCACUUGCGUGUUGUUUAGUUUUUGUAGAUUCUGUGACUGCGAGGAAAGUACCGAAGGAGCAAUUUUCGAAUUCACCCGAAUGAAAGAACAUUCGAAGCUCCAAUAGCAAAACACGAAGAGAGGAAACUUCUGCCGACGGAGGAACUCGGGAGAGGAAGCAUUACUUCUUCACUUGUUUCAAUCGGAAGAAGUGGUUAGUAGAUGACUUUUCAAGGAAAACCAGGUGUCGCGAUUGAAAACCCUUACCAACUUGUCCGCUUAUAGUCCAGAAGACAUGCGCAUUUUUGCGUCGUAGUGGAGGCAUACGGAGGAUGAAGACGGAUCGUCACUUUUUUUAUUGCAAAUCCCAUUCACGAAUGGACAUGGGAGAUCCGGAUAUACCCAUUCAUCAAUUCUAUGAGAUUGCGGGUUCUACAGGAAUUGACGAAACGGGUGAAGAAGCAUUAUUCAAGAGGAUGUUCCCACACUCCUUAGUGGGAAAGGCAAAAGAGUGGUACCUUGAUCAAGCACCAAGAGUGAUGACGGACUGGAAUUUGUUAGAAGAAAAGUUUUUAGAAAGAUAUUUUCCUCAAUCCCGAUUCAUGGAAGCCAAAACGGCUAUUGCGGUAUUCACUCAAGGAAGCGACGAGUCUCUAAAUGAGGCUUGGGAAAGAUUCAAGUCAAUGUUGAGAAAAUGCAAAGGCCAUGGUUUUGAUGAGCUCACUCAAAUCCAUAUUUUUCUAAAUGGACUCCAAUCAACUCACAGGACACUUUUGGAUGCUACCGCGGGUGGCUCUCUUAUGUCAAAGAAUGCGGAAGAAGCAAAAGUCAUUAUUAACCGGAUGGCACUCAAUGAUCGUCAAAGUCAACAUGACCGUAGUCCUUCACAACGUAAACCGGGAGUUCUUGAGUUAAAUACCAAUGAUGCCAUUCUUGCUCAAAACAAGCUACUUUCUCAACAAGUACACUCAAUGAUCGUCAAAGUCAACAUGACCGUAGUCCUUCACAACGUAAACCGGGAGUUCUUGAGUUAAAUACCAAUGAUGCCAUUCUUGCUCAAAACAAGCUACUUUCUCAACAAGUGGAGUUGCUCACUCAACAAAUGGCCAAGCUUCCAUAACAAAUGAAGGAAAUUCAAGGUUCUCAAGUUCGACAUCAAGUAGCAUAUUGUGAAUUAUGUCAAGGAGAUCAUCCAACCGGUUUUUGCCCUCCACUAGAAGAAGUGAGCUAUGUGAACAAUCAAAAUCAAAGUUAUCAAAGACAACCUCCUAACAACUCAUAUCCAAGAAACAAUCAAGGUUAUCAACCAUCAAGGUUCAAUAACCAAAAAUUUCAGCAACAAAGUCCUUAUCAACACCCAAACUCUCAAGGACAACAAUCGCAAGGAGGAAAUUCAAAGCUAGAGGACACUCUUCAACAAUUCAUGCAAGCCUCCAUGGCAAAUCAGAAGAGCAACAAGGCAGCAAUUAAGAAUUUGGAAAAUCAAGUAGGCCAACUUGCGAAGCAAUUGUCGGAACAAAACGCGGGAUCUUCAUUUUCCGCUAACACUUAAACCAAUCCAAAGGAGCAUUGUAAAGCAAUUGUCACGAGAAGCGGUAAAGAGUUGACAAGUGGAAAAAGUGAGGAAAUUACAAUAGAUAAUGAUAUGGAUGUUGUACUGGAAAAUAAGGAUGUGGCUUGUGGAAAGGAGAAAGUGGCAUAAACUCUUCAGUUCGCGCCGCGAUCUCCCUUCGCGCCGCAAAAAGAGCAGGAUCAGCAAAUGACAAUAGAACAGCAGGGUGAGGUGGAAAGGAAGAAGGAAGCCGAGCCAAGAAAGAAGAAGAAAGGAGAUAAAGGCGUGAGUGUCAUUCCAACUCAACAUCUACCUUAUCCGCAUGCACCAUCAAAGAAGGACAAUGCUAGACAUUAUGCACGGUUUAUGGACAUAUUCAAACAACUUCAAAUAAAUAUUUCAUUUGCCGACGCAUUAGAACAAAUGCCACGGUAUGCAAAGUUCGUGAAGGAUGUUCUCACAAAGAAAAGGAGACAUGUGGAAGACGAGACAAUCUUGCUUGAUGCACGUUGUAGUGCCAUCAUUCAAAAAACUCUCCCAAGGAAAGAAUUCGAUCCGGGCCGAGUCGUUUUACCGAUAACCAUUGGAGGAACCUACAUUGGUAAUGGCUUGAUUGACUUGGGAUCUAGCAUCAAUUUAAUCCCCCUAUCCAUUGUUAAAAGAUUGGGAAAUAUUGAGAUCAAAUCUACAAGGAUGACUUUACAACUAGCCGAUAAAUCUACCACUUCACCAUAUGGAGUUGCUCAAGAUAUGCUAGUGAAGGUGGACAAGUUCUUAUUUCCGGUAGAUUUCGUGAUAGUGGAGAUGGAUGAGGAUCGUGAUGUUCCUCUAAUUCUUGGAAGACCAUUCAUGUAAAAUGCCCAGAUGAUGAUUGACAUUGAUGAUGGACUGAUGAAAGUGAGAGUGUAAGAUGAAGAGGUGACCUUCAAUCUUUUUGAAGCCAUGAAGCAUCCUAAUGACAAGCAUGAUUCUUUCUGAAUUGAUGCAACCAAAGAGGAAAUAGUGGAGGUCGCAAACCAAGUUCAUAUUUCUAAUCCUUUAGAAAGAUCUCUUAUCGGAGCCUACAAUGUUUUGACGGAAAAUGAAGAAAAAGAGAUCGAAGCAAUGUUGCAUGAAUUAGAGUCUUGUGGGGAGCUUUCUUAUCAUGAAGAAACAAAUGAAGACUUGGAUGUGACAAAGAAAAUGGAAGAACCAAAACUAGAGUUGAAAAUGCUACCUUCACACUUGAACCAAAACUAGUGUUCCUUGGUGAUGAUUGUACUAAACCGGUGAUCAUUAGCAACACCUUGUCCAUAAAAGAGGAACACAAAUUAAUACAAGUGCUGAAAAAGAAUGAGGGUGCAAUAGGGUGGGUGUUAUCCGACUUGAAGGGUAUUAGUCUGGCCUAUUGUAUGCAUAAGAUCAUGAUGGAAGAAAAUUUCAAACCCGUUGCACAACCUCAAAGGCGUCUAAAUCCAUCAAUGAAAGAAGUAGUUCAGAAAGAAGUUGUCAAACUCUUGGAAGCCGGAAUGAUUUAUCCUAUCUCCGAUAGUGAAUGGGUGGGUCCGGUGCAAGUAGUUCCAAAAAAAGGUGGCAUGACGGUUAUCAAAAAUGAUAAAAAUGAGUUAAUUCCAACUAGAACGGUAAUCGGGUGGAGGAUGUGUAUUGACUAUAAAAGGCUAAACCAAGCUACAAUGAAAGAUCACUUCCCACUAUCUUUCAUGGACCAAAUGUUGGAAAGGUUGGCCGGCAAAAACUUCUAUUGUUUCUUGGAUGGUUAUUCGGGUUACAAUCAAAUUUGGGUCAAUCCGGCGGAUCAUGAGAAGACGGCUUUUACAUGUCCUUUCGGCAUCUUUGCUUACCGAAGAAUGCCUUUUGGGUUAUGUAAUGCACCGGCAACAUUUCAACGGUGUAUGCAAGCGAUAUUCUCGGAUUUAAUAGAAGAAUGCAUUGAGGUGUUCAUGGAUGAUUUCUCCGUUUAUGGAUCGUCUUUUGAUUUGUGCUUGAAACAUCUUGAUGUAGUUUUGGGAAGAUGUGUGGAGACCAACUUAGUGCUCAAUUGGGAAAAAUGCAACUUUAUGGUCACCGAAGGUGUUGUACUCGGUCACAAGAUCUCCUCCGAAGGGUUAGAAGUUGACAAAGCAAAGGUGGAAGUCAUUGAGAAAUUACCACCUCCAACAAAUAU